rnacentral:rRNA from 1 species
UCGAGCGGUAGAGAGAAGCUUGCUUCUCUUGAGAGCGGCGGACGGGUGAGUAACACGUGGGCAACCUGCCCUGCAGACUGGGAUAACUUCGGGAAACCGGAGCUAAUACCGGAUAACACCGAAAACCGCAUGGUUUUCGGUUGAAAGGCGGCUUUUAGCUGUCACUGCAGGAUGGGCCCGCGGCGCAUUAGCUAGUUGGUGAGGUAACGGCUCACCAAGGCGACGAUGCGUAGCCGACCUGAGAGGGUGAUCCCCCACACUGGUACUGAGACACGGCCCAGACUCCUACGGGAGGCAGCAGUAGGGAAUCUUCCGCAAUGGACGAAAGUCUGACGGAGCAACGCCGCGUGAGCGAAGAAGGUCUUCGGAUCGUAAAGCUCUGUUGUCAGGGAAGAACAAGUGCCGUUCGAACAGGGCGGUACCUUGACGGUACCCGACGAGGAAGCCACGGCUAACUACGUGCCAGCAGCCGCGGUAAU